UGCACUGAUGGUGUAAUUUGCGUCUGACUCUGUGACCAGUGACAGUUGCCUGCUGUCAAUAUGCUGGCGCAUAUGGCUGACGAGCAACAGUGUCUGAGCA
ensembl:snoRNA SNORD16 Small nucleolar RNA SNORD16